UACGUAGGGUGCAAGCGUUGUCCGGAAUUAUUGGGCGUAAAGAGCUCGUAGGCGGUCUGUCGCGUCGGCUGUGAAAACCCGGGGCUCAACCCCGGGCCUGCAGUCGAUACGGGCAGACUAGAGUGUGGUAGGGGAGACUGGAAUUCCUGGUGUAGCGGUGAAAUGCGCAGAUAUCAGGAGGAACACCGGUGGCGAAGGCGGGAUCCUGGGCCAGUACUGACGCUGAGGAGCGAAAGCGUGGGGAGCAAACAGG
rnacentral:rRNA from 1 species